UACGUAGGCAGCGAGCGUUGUUCGGAGUUACUGGGCGUAAAGGGCGCGCAGGCGGCCAGACAAGUCAGAUGUGAAAGCCCCGGGCUCAACUCCGGAAUUGCCUUUAAGACUGCAUCGCUAGAAUUGUGGAGAGGUAAGUGGAAUUCCGAGUGUAGAGGUGAAAUUCGUAGAUAUUCGGAAGAACACCAGUGGCGAAGGCGACUUACUGGACACAUAUUGACGCUGAGGUGCGAAAGCGUGGGGAGCAAACAGG
rnacentral:rRNA from 1 species